GGUUCAUUCCACCAUGGACCACAUCCACCUGCCUCUCUAAAAAAAAUGCAAACCCCUGGUACAAAGUUAAAGAGCGCUAUGGCUCUAAGAAGAGUUAUCUCCACUCAGAUUCUAGGGGACAAGAUAAAGGAUAGAAAGCCACUGCACUAGAAAAAGAUGUUAAAUAAUACACACCCGCUGUAUAGGAAGUAAAAAAUACAGUGGAAGAAGUAGAAAUGGCCUGGAUCACAUCUCCGAGAAAUAUAACACUGCUGACAUGGUAGCACUGCCCUGCUGCAAUGCUUGAUCCAUGUGCGUCUAUAUUUACAUGUGCAGGUUGAAAUAUACUAUUUUAACUUACAGAACAGAUGGCAACACCAUCCAGUCACGAGGAUCACUGCUGUGAGGAUUAAAUCACCUCUAUCAACCUGGGAGCUCUCCGAGAUGUCUCGGGCCCCUGCUCCGUGGGAUGGAGAGAGCCUGCCGUGCCUGGUCGAGUAAGGACUCCAAGGGACAAGGCAGGCACAGCCGUCCUUGCCCCGACAGUGGAGGGUUUAGCAGCGGCUGCGGGGAUUAGGACUCACUCACCUCUUCGAGCCGCCAGGGAGAGUGGGCCCGGAGUCCUCCCCGCCCAGAACAGGACCCUCCUGGAGGUUAGAUGGGAGAGAAAAGCCACACAGAAUGGAAAGAAACUUGGAUGAAGGAGGAAAGGAAGACGAAAAGGUUUUGUUACCUUGCAUCAGAAGCAAAGAAGAAUUCCACGGCUUUGUCGCCCACAGCGUGAAGGCAGGUGGAGCUGUCCAGCCUCUUCAUCCUCUUUUUACAGAUAUUCUUCACAUUCUCAACAUUGCCUAGUAUAUAAAGGAAUC
rnacentral:lncRNA from 1 species